UACGUAGGGGGCAAGCGUUGUCCGGAUUUAUUGGGCGUAAAGCGCACGUAGGCGGGUCUGUAAGUCAGGGGUGAAAUCCUGGAGCUCAACUCCAGAACUGCCUUUGAUACUGAGAAGCUUGAGUCCGGGAGAGGUGAGUGGAACUGCGAGUGUAGAGGUGAAAUUCGUAGAUAUUCGCAAGAACACCAGUGGCGAAGGCGGCUCACUGGCCCGGUACUGACGCUGAGGUGCGAAAGCGUGGGGAGCAAACAGG
rnacentral:rRNA from 1 species